GUGGGGCCGUGCCCUUGGACCUGCCCAGCCAGCCCAGCCAGUCCUAGUGCAGCCACCCUCAGAGCAAACAGCCCGGGAGCGCGCCCUGCCAGACGCUGAACAUGCUUCUGAGCCACGUCACGGUUUCGCGAGCUGACUUCCGCCGCCCCCAGGAGCCUCCCCAGAUACGCUCUGCUCAGAUUUGCUCUUUUAACCUCUACUCCAUACUGCUUGUUCAAGCUGUUCAAGCAGUUAUGCGGAAAUGGGCUUGUACAGUCUUUGGGCCACCUUCUCACACGGGCUCUAAUGUCCACUCUGAGGCACGCCCAGCAGGAAGGCCAUCUCAGGAAUAUGCAGACCUCCCCUGGACGGAAUUCAUCACCAAACAGGCUCAUCCUCAGACGGAGCCGAGCUGCUCCCCACCACACAGCCUGCUGGACGCACAGAAUUGUGUCCUCCCUGUCACUCAGCUCAUCUCACGUCCUUCUCGGAACUCUGCUCUCUGCGGGCCGAUGGCCCCCUGCCUCACCAGCUGCUGUCCCCAAACCUUCUCCAGUGUCCUCGAGCCUGCACUGCCCCACACUGGCCAUCGUGUCGCCUGAGGACUGGGGGUAGGGAAGGGCAGCCGCCCCUCUCUUUUCCCAGGUCCUGGCUCCCGCUGUGGCUGGGCUGGCAGGGACUCUCACCCCUGGUCCUUUUGGAACCUGUGGAAAACCAGCUCCCCUCAUCCCCGUCUACUUGGAUGACUGGUGUUAGUGCCCCCAGUUACAAGAUGCUACAUUUUCCCUUGUAAAAUUUUCUCUUUUCCUUUUCUACCCUGACAAACUGUUUUGAAUCCUGACUCAGAGCUAUUUACUAUCCUUCCCAGGGCUGGGUCAUCUAUAGCCCAGAGAAGUCUCCUUCAGGGUAUUUAUUUUAAAGACAAAUAAAAUACAUUGCUUUGCA